GUGGGGAAUAUUGGACAAUGGGCGCAAGCCUGAUCCAGCCAUGCCGCGUGAGUGAUGAAGGCCUUAGGGUUGUAAAGCUCUUUUACCAGGGAAGAUAAUGACGGUACCUGGAGAAUAAGCCCCGGCUAACUUCGUGCCAGCAGCCGCGGUAAUACGAAGGGGGCUAGCGUUGCUCGGAAUCACUGGGCGUAAAGCGCACGUAGGUGGGUCAUUAAGUCAGGGGUGAAAUCCUGGAGCUCAACUCCAGAACUGCCUUUGAUACUGAUGAUCUUCGAGUCCGGGAGAGGUGGGUGGAACUGCGAGUGUAGAGGUGAAAUUCGUAGAUAUUCGCAAGAACACCAGUGGCGAAGGCGGCUCACUGGCCCGGUACUGACACUGAGGUGCGAAAGCGUGGGGAGCAAACAGGAUUAGAAACCCGUGUAGUCC
rnacentral:rRNA from 1 species